rnacentral:lncRNA from 8 species
ACAAUCCUUCUAACCCCGAAUCUUGUUAUAAUUAUAAUUCCUCUGUAGCGGUCUGUCUCGGGACGUCAGUCUAUCAGGGAACUUGUUCACUGCGCUGACAUAAAAUAAUCCAGUGCCUGGUUUUGCGAAACACAAUUGGCCCAUCUUGCGCUUGGAUCCAGUACGGUCAUUUCUUCCCUCCAAAACUCAUUCUUGCUGCAGGGAGGAGCGUUGAGCAUCCGUCUGAGUGACUGCAUUCAAGAAGAGAACGGGCAUGCACAGCACUUUUUUGACUUUCCAUUGCUUAUGUUCUAAACCUCUAUCUGAUCUACUGUAUUAGCAAGGGGUUUCAACGCGGAGCAUCCUAGGCUAACAUCAUCUGUCUCAAUAGGAACGCGGGGUUUUCUGUUGCAUAGUCGUAUCAUUUGUUUCCUGCGCAAAAAAUUGCAGACAUGGUCAAUACAACGAAACAUCGGGGUCUGGCCGAAUACUUGCCAACAAGUGGCUGACUGUUCCAUUCAAAAGGAUGCU